rnacentral:sRNA from 1 species
UUCCGAUUUAAACUCACUGGGCCCAUUG